rnacentral:rRNA from 1 species
GAUGAACGCUGGCGGCGUGCCUAAUACAUGCAAGUCGAGCGAACAGACGAGGAGCUUGCUCCUCUGACGUUAGCGGCGGACGGGUGAGUAACACGUGGAUAACCUACCUAUAAGACUGGGAUAACUUCGGGAAACCGGAGCUAAUACCGGAUAAUAUAUUGAACCGCAUGGUUCAAUAGUGAAAGACGGUUUUGCUGUCACUUAUAGAUGGAUCCGCGCCGCAUUAGCUAGUUGGUAAGGUAACGGCUUACCAAGGCAACGAUGCGUAGCCGACCUGAGAGGGUGAUCGGCCACACUGGAACUGAGACACGGUCCAGACUCCUACGGGAGGCAGCAGUAGGGAAUCUUCCGCGAUGGGCGAAAGCCUGACGGAGCAACGCCGCGUGAGUGAUGAAGGUCUUCGGAUCGGAAAACUCUGUUAUUAGGGAAGAACAAAUGUGUAAGUAACUAUGCACGUCUUGACGGUACCUAAUCAGAAAGCCACGGCUAACUACGUG